GUGCCAGCAGCCGCGGUAAUACGGAGGGGUCUAGCGUUAUUCGGAAUUACUGGGCGUAAAGCGAGCGUAGGCGGAUUUGUAAGUUGGAGGUGAAAUCCCAGAGCUUAACUCUGGAACUGCCUUCAAAACUACAUUUCUUGAGUUUGGUAGAGGAGAGUGGAAUUCCUAGUGUAGAGGUGAAAUUCGUAGAUAUUAGGAGGAACACCAGUGGCGAAGGCGACUCUCUGGGCCAAUACUGACGCUGAGGUUCGAAAGCAUGGGUAGCGAACAGGAUUAGAUACCCCUGUAGUCCC
rnacentral:rRNA from 1 species